rnacentral:rRNA from 1 species
CUACGGGACGCUCCAGUGAGGAAUAUUGCACAAUGGGGGGAACCCUGAUGCAGCAACGCCGCGUGGAGGAUGACGCAUUUCGGUGUGUAAACUCCUUUUAUAUGUCAAGAAAAUGACGGUAGCAUAUGAAUAAGCACCGGCUAACUCCGUGCCAGCAGCCGCGGUAAUACGGAGGGUGCAAGCGUUACUCGGAAUCACUGGGCGUAAGGGACGCGUAGGCGGGUUGGAAAGUCAGGUGUGAAAUCCUACAGCUUAACUGUAGAACUGCACUUGAAACUUCUAAUCUAGAGUAUGGGAGGGGGAGAUGGAAUUAGUGGUGUAGGGGUAAAAUCCGUAGAUAUCACUAGGAAUACCUAAAGCGAAGGCGAUCUCCUGGAACAUUACUGACGCUAAGGCGUGAAAGCGUGGGGAGCAAACAGGAUUGGAUACCCGGGUAGUC